rnacentral:tRNA from 1 species
GCUUAUUAAGUGUAUUUUGCAUGUUUGCCUUCCAAGCAAGGGGGUUAAGGUAUAGGGCCUUAAAAUAAGUA